UCCCGUGAAACUGGCCUCCGUCGUCGCGAGAAGUAGCCGCUGGGGCGUCUGCGCGAACAAACGGAAGUAUAGGUGAAGGUCUGAGGCAGCACCGCCAAGCUGGGCACCGGGGAGAUGGCCGAGACUGACCCCAAGACCGUGCAGGAUCUCACCUCAGUGGUGCAGACACUCCUGCAACAGAUGCAAGAUAAAUUUCAGACCAUGUCCGACCAGAUCAUUGGAAGAAUUGAUGACAUGAGCAGUCGCAUUGAUGACCUGGAGAAGAACAUAGCAGACCUCAUGACGCAGGCCGGGGUGGAAGAGCUGGACAGUGAAAACAAGAUCCCGGCCACACAGAAGAGCUGAAGCAUGUCCUGGCUGGACCAAAUUAUAGGUAACUAUGAAAUACGGGUUGCCUGGAAGUCCAAGAAAAUAAAGGUUUGAGAGACUUGGGCAGUGUUCUUUUGUCUCCGGAGCUCCUCCAGGUCUCAUGUCAUCCAGCCGUCAAAAACCCCAUCAAGUGAAUAAGAACACCCUCUCAAGAACUGCAGGACUGAAGAAUAUCAAGUGACAGGCAUAAUGCUAGAAAAGGAGUGGGAGUAGGGAACAGUCACAGUAAACUUUUUAAUAAAGGUU